UGUUACGAGUCAUUCAAAUUUUCUCCUAUUUAGGAAAUUUCAUUUUUGCCUUAGUCAAACAACUUCCUACAUUUAAUGUUAGUACCCCCAUAGCUAGGGUAUGCUUAGUUUCAGAUCCAACCCAGAAGGUGGAAAUAGCAUGGUAUGGCCAUUCAGUUAAGUGUGGCUGUUUGGAUACAGCCUACUAUAGUUACGCAUUAAGAAAAAAAGAUACGGAAAUGUCAAGCGAGGAACUUGUCCAAAC
rnacentral:lncRNA from 1 species